UACGUAGGGGGCUAGCGUUGUCCGGAUUUAUUGGGCGUAAAGAGCGUGUAGGCGGCCAGAUAGGUCAGCUGUGAAAACUCGAGGCUCAACCUCGAGACGUCGGUUGAAACCAUCUGGCUAGAGUCCGGAAGAGGAGAGUGGAAUUCCCGGUGUAGCGGUGAAAUGCGCAGAUAUCGGGAAGAACACCCGUGGCGAAGGCGGCUCUCUGGGACGGUACUGACGCUGAGACGCGAAAGCGUGGGGAGCGAACAGG
rnacentral:rRNA from 1 species